rnacentral:rRNA from 1 species
CGCUAGCGGCAGGCUUAAUACAUGCAAGUCGUGGGGCAGCAGGUUUGUAGCAAUACAAAUGCUGGCGACCGGCAAACGGGUGCGGAACACGUACACAACCUUCCUUUAAGUGGGGAAUAGCCCAGAGAAAUUUGGAUUAAUACCCCGUAACAUUAUGAUGUGGCAUCACAUUAUAAUUAUAGCUCCGGCGCUUAAUGAUGGGUGUGCGGCUGAUUAGGUAGUUGGCGGGGUAACGGCCCACCAAGCCUGCGAUCAGUAACUGGUGUGAGAGCACGACCAGUCACACGGGCACUGAGACACGGGCCCGACUCCUACGGGAGGCAGCAGUAAGGAAUAUUGGGCAAUGGAGGCAACUCUGACCCAGCCAUGCCGCGUGGAGGAUGAAGGUCCUCUGGAUUGUAAACUUCUUUUAUAUGGGACGAAAAAGGGCCUUUCUAGGUCAACUGACGGUACCAUAUGAAUAAGCACCGGCUAACUCCGUGCCAGCAGCCGCGGUAAUACGGAGGGUGCAAGCGUUAUCCGGAUUCACUGGGUUUAAAGGGUGCGUAGGUGGAUUGGUAAGUCAGUGGUGAAAUCCCCGAGCUUAACUUGGGAACUGCCAUUGAUACUAUUAGUCUUGAAUACUGUGGAGGUCAGCGGAAUAUGUCAUGUAGCGGUGAAAUGCUUAGAUAUGACAUAGAACACCAAUUGCGAAG